AGUGAACGCUGGCGGCAGGCCUAACACAUGCAAGUCGAGCGGCAGCGGGUCCCCGCGAGGGGAUGCCGGCGAGCGGCGGACGGGUGAGGAACACAUCGGAAUCUGCCGUGGUUGUGGGGGAUAACGUAGGGAAACUUACGCUAAUACCGCAUGCGACCCUGAGUCGACGGACUUGGGGUGAAAGUGAGGGACCUUCGGGCCUCACGCGACCAGAUGAGCCGAUGUCGGAUUAGCUAGUUGGCGGGGUAACGGCCCGCCAAGGCGACGAUCCGUAGCUGGUCUGGAGAGGAUGAUCAGCCACACUGGGAC
rnacentral:rRNA from 1 species